rfam:Hordeum vulgare subsp. vulgare, WGS project CAJW01000000 data, contig: morex_contig_469796
AAAUAACUUCCUCCAUCUCGAAAUACUUGUCGGUGGAAUGUAUAUAUCUAGACAUAUUUUAGUUUUAGAUACAUCCAUCUUUAUUCAUUUCUUCGACAAGUAUUUACAGACGGAGUGAGUAUGUU